rnacentral:misc_RNA from 1 species
GUAGGUGAACCUGCGGAAGGAUCAUUAACACGUGAUACUCACGUAUUAAACAUUCACCGUGAAUUUGUUUCUCUCCUUUGGUUGAUUGUAAAUAGACUCUUUGGCAAAUUGCUAUUGGUUUCGACCAUGACCCAAUUAGUCGUUCUAGGUCCGCCCUGGAGUUUGCACCAACGAAAAGAUGUAUAAUUACGACCGCUUAUUAAGGUAGUAGCAUAGCUUGCAGCUCGUAGUGACUAUUAUUAACCCCUUUACUAUUAUUUAAUGAUUUCGUAUGUUUAUAUGAAUUCCUAACUUUCGGGUUGGUUGAGUUUAUAUAGAUGUCGUAUAUUUACUAAUACGAAACAACUCUUAGCAACGGAUAUCUUGGUUCUC